rnacentral:rRNA from 1 species
CCCUUAGAUGUUCUGGGCCGCACGCGCGUUACACUGAUGCAUUCAACGAGCUUAUAGCCUUGGCCGAGAGGCCUGGGCAAUCUUGUUAACGUGCAUCGUGAUAGGGAUAGAUUAUUGAAAUUAUUAAUCUUGAACGAGGAAUUCCUAGUAAACGCAGAUCAUCAAUCUGCAUUGAUUACGUCCCUGCCCUUUGUACACACCGCCCGUCGCACCUACCGAUUGGAUGGUCCGGUGAAGCCUCGGGAUUGUGGUUCUUGCCGCUUUAUUGUGGCGUGACCGCGAGAACUUGUCUAAACCUUAUCAUCUAGAGGAAGGUGAAGUCGUAACA